rnacentral:rRNA from 1 species
UACGGGGGGGCAAGCGUUGUUCGGAAUUACUGGGCGUAAAGGGCUCGUAGGUGGCCACUUAAGUCAGACGUGAAAUCCCUCGGCUUAACCGGGGAACUGCGUCUGAUACUGGAUGGCUUGAGUUCGGGAGAGGGAGUGCGGAAUUCCAGGUGUAGCGGUGAAAUGCGUAGAUAUCUGGAGGACACCGGUGGCGAAGGCGGCAUCCUGGGACCGACACUGACACUGAGGAGCGAAAGCCAGGGAG